AUAGCGAGGACGCUGACAGGAUUACGACUUAAGGACAAGGGUCAGGAACGCCAGGAGGCGAAGACUCAGGAUUGUCAGGAUGAUAGCGCCAGGAGGCGUUUAAAAGGGAAAAGGAACCGUAUCAGGGACGGUAGCAGCCAAAGGAUAGCCAGGGUCGGUUGUAGGCAAACAAGGACGAUAAGACCCGUUCAGGGUUAUGAGUCAGGAAAAAAGGCGACAGAUUGCUCUGUCGCCUUUUUUCUUUGCUUGCUU
rnacentral:sRNA from 1 species